GAACACGUCAAAUUUGUUCGGCGGGAAAAAAUGAUUUGGCUUCACACACACACACACACACACAUUGCUUUAUAUUGUUUCGCUAGCUUUCACAGACUAUCUUUUUGCUACACUCCUUGUCUUGUUUAACCGGUUUUAAUAAACACAAUUUAGCAUUUCAAAAUAUUGCUUUUUUUCUAAAUUUUAACGGGUAAAAACGAGCACCAUCUUAUCCGAUUUUUACCCCUGGCCAUAUGGACAACCCCCCACAGCGACCAUAUUGAUUAUCCACAGAAUGUGCAACUCCCUGCGGCAAAUUUGAAAAAAAAAAACGAGUCAUGGCACUUUAUAUUUAAAAGUCAGAUGCCCCUUCCCAUAUCUGUGACCGCCUAAAAGCGAAUUUAGCAGCAGGGAGGAUGGCUACCUGCGCGAGUGGCCACAAAAAUUGUUUUUAAAAGAUUUUUGAUCUAAAUUAAAGUUUGAAGGUGGACUAGCUAGUGGUUUCAAACUUAAAUCCGACUCGGACUUGAACUUAUCUCAAAUAACUUUUGAAAUAGAUAUCUGAAACAAUGCAAUUCAGUUUUGAUGACAGCUCAGUAUCGAAAAAAAAACAGAGUUUUGCUAAAACCUCAAGUCAUAUUAAUUUGUCUGUGUUGCAGCUGUUGGAAAUUAUUUUGCAAAUUGUCCGCCGUGCUACGGCACUUUUAUAAAUGGUGCCAGUCUCACUUUUUUAUUCGAUGACUUUAUUUUUUGCGCCCCAUCUUUUCUCAACCAAAAGGGGUGUACCAAAAGUACCUGUUGUCAAUUGGAUUUAUUGAUAUAUUAUGAUACUUCGUUAUAGAUCAUCUUCUUGUGGGACACCCUGAUAUGGGACCAUUUACCAUUUUCACAGUUAAUAAUGUUUAACGUGGUUUACAAAUAGAAUUUGACGAUUUAUUUUUUUUUUUGGCAAAAGUCCCAAUUUCUGCUAGAUUGAAAAUUGAACAAUUUGAAGCUGCCCAUUGAAAUCAGUGCAAAAUUCUGAUAUUAGAAAUAUAUACUUUACCCACAUUUAGUGUUCAUUUUUCAGCACAAAUUGCGCCAUUCUACGCCACCGCGCCACGUUUUCAUGGCGCCAACUCAACGCAAUCAGUGACUCAUCCUGAGCUGGCAACAUGGUCAAGUGUGGUAAAGCACUCGACCGUGGAGUCAACAGUCGAGGGUUCAAUCCCCUCACCGAACCAAGGUGGUUCUGAGUUGCUCACAUGCUCAGAUAAGUGGAAGUUCGGAAGAUUGAUGAUCAAAAAGGUGGUGUUGAAUCUUAUUGUUUCAUUCAACAUUGACAAAAGAUCGAAAAAUGUUUUUUUCAUUUUCAUAGAAUUGUCUUCAACUAGGCUUAUACUCUUUUCACUCUCUUUUUCUGCUUUAGUUUCCCACAGCGUUUGUCAGAAAUAACAAAGUUUGUAUGAUUUUUUUCCAAUUUUUCCGGAAGAAAUUUAUGUUGGUAGGAAUGUUUUGAACUGGAAACUUUUUUAUAUACAGAAUUGGUUCAAUAAAAUCUAAAAAGUGAAUAAGUUGAAUUAAUGUAUAAAUGAAAUAUUUUUAUGAAAAACUUGUCAAGAGAUCACCCGGUUGAGGACAUCGAAUACAUCCGUCCAGCAAGAUCCGUCUGCAAAACAAUUUUUAAUAUAAUAUGACUGAAAUUUCCAUGGCAACAUACCAUUUCCACCUGAUGCUCCACAUAUUGCUUCAACUCGUCUAUAUCCUUUCGAAACUCCUCCUCAACAUCCAGAAUAUCCUUGUUGCCGUCUUCAUAAGCCCAUAGUCCAGAUCUCACGUCUCUGCAAAUUGAAAGUAUAAAAAAACAUAUACGAAUAGUUUUUGGAGUUAUUUCUUAAGUUUUUUUUGGAGUUAUUCUUAAGUAAGUGCUAGUGAUUAAAUUUAGCAAAAUUUAUAAACCAAAAAAAUACAGUUUUUAUGAGUAUUCACAUAUUUUUGUUUUUCCAAAAAACUGAUAAAAAGAAAUUUUGGUGAAAUUUUUGGAGAAAUUGUGGGGUUCUUAUCAGGGCUGUGCGGCAACCGGCAAUUGCCGAAGUUGCCAAACCCAAAAAAUUUUGGCAACCGGCAAAUUUUGGUUGCCGAAAUUUCGGCAAAUUUUUGGCAACCGGCAACUUGGUUGCCGGUUGCCGCACAGUUCUGGUUCUUAUGUCUAAAUUAUAUGAACAGCAAUUGUAUGAUUUGGCUAUAUAACUUGUUAUCUGAUAUUUUUUAGCAGAACUUUAUUUUUAUUUUUUGUUGUAAUUACAUUCUGGAUUUACUUGAAUUUGUUGAAAAUUAUAUGAAAACCAAUUUUUAAACGCUACACGCAAAUCUGACAACAAAAUUCAGUUUCCGAUAAUAUUUGAAAAAGAAUUUGAAAUGUUUCAAAUUUUUGUUAAAAAUAUUUCUACAAACUUCACAAAACUCACCUUUCUCGACGAAAGCACAGUUCGGUGUCCAGAACCCAGGCCACAUGAUUAACAAACUCCCAUUUGUACAUAUCGUGAAACACUUUGUAAUACGGGAACAAGUCGGUGAUCCACUUGACAACUACUUCAAUCUCCGGAAACACGUCAUCCGCUUCUUCCAUCGCAGCACUGACCAGGGCGACCAUUUUGAACUUGGGCAUCGCCAUUUCCGGAUGAUGAAGCCCCAUAAUUUGGUUCAUUUCGUGAGUGAAAUACGUCAUGGUAGCUGAAAAUGAAAAUUUACUUAGUUAGUUGAAGGUUCUCAAAUUUAUUUGCCACGUACAUAAUAAAGGAAAUACAGAAAUGUCUUGUUUUUUUGGAUCUUAUAUUGCGGCAACUUGCCGAGUGGGAAAAAAUUUAAAUCGUGCAGACGUCAGAUUCAGUUAGGCGAAAAUUACAUGAAAAAUAACAAAAAAAAAACCACAAAAAAGUAUAGCUGUGGAUAUGAGAGAAUGGCACAUUCAAAUGUCAGCAAACGGCCAUAAACCAUCGAUCGAUAAUAGUGUGCGGAAGACGAGGGCAGACCUGUCGCGCGACUCACGCAUUGCAGGCAACACCAACUUGUCGUAGGUCAAAUCUUGACACGACAACGAACUCGUAAUGACCAAAUCAAAAGGAAACAAAAAAAUUGAAAAAAAAUUGAAUUUCGAAAUUAUGAAAAGUUUGAGUCGGCUAUAUCUGAGCAUAGUUGAAGGUUUUAUAAAAUUGAUGAUUGUAAAGAUGAAAAAAAACUUUAAUUGAAGAUGGACAACGGCCUGUGGGAAAAGAUUAAAACUCGUUCACAUUAAAAUUUAAAAAUGUCCAAAUAUCAUAAUAAAAAUAUUCAAAAAAAAAGUUACCUUCAGUUUUAAAUUUGACUCACGUUUCCAGUAAUCCUAUUUUAAUAUUGUUGGGAUUCAAACAAGCAACAGUGUUUUGGUUUCUCCAAAAUUGGCGCACGAUCAGACCCGAAAUAAAAAAAAAUUCCACAAAUUUUUAAAAGAUCCAUUAUAAUAUUUAGUCAUUUCCUAACUGUUAGAAGGAUUGUUAAAGCUAAACAAUUCAUAAAAAUUUCCAUAAAAGUUAUUCAUAGAAAAACAUGGAAAAACAGAAAAUUUUCACAAAAAUAUUAAAAUGAAAUUUUUUCCAGAAAUAAGCAGAACAACAACGGCAUAUCUUGCAGCAAAAAGAAAUGCCGCACUACUAACAAGGAAAGAAAGCAAAUCUAGUUCCGGACUAUGAAUCUUUGAAUUUCCUGCCAAAAUGUUUUUUUUUCUCAGGAAAUUUGAGUUUCUCGCCUAAAUUUUUUCUUAGAAAAUUUGAAUGUCCCGCCAAUAACUAUGGGACUCCCCCCGGUAAUCCAAAUAUAGGCGCAAAAAACAAAAAUGAAAAUUUUCAAAGUUUAGAAGAAUUCCUAUGGUAUUCGACAGAAGUUUUUUCACAAAAAUUUUGGAAUUUUGGUAGGGUUUCCAUAGAUUUGGAUUCUAAAUUUUUUAAAAGAUUAUGGAUAAGUUUCUGGACCUACAAGUUAUAUUCUAGCCGCGCUAGAGGGGUUUUUGUCUUCAAUUCAUUUUUUUACAUACAUAUGAUUGCACUUUUUUGCAAAAAAAAAAUUUUGGAAUUUUAGGAGAAUUUCUAUGAAAAUGGAUUGCUAAUUUUUUUUAGUAUUACGUUUCUGGGUCAAGAAAUUCGUUUUUGGUCGCGCUAUAGGGGUUUUUGUCUUGAAUUCCAAUUUCAACAGGUUUCCUCAAUAUCAACAAUUUCAACAGGCACAAAAAAACAAAAAUAAAAAUUUUGGAAUUUUGGGAGAAUUUCUAUGAAAAUGGAUUGCUAAUUUUUUUAAAAGUAUUAUGGGUACGUUUCUGGGUCAAGAAAUUCGUUUUUGUUCGCGCUACAGGGGUUUUUGUCUUGUAUUCCAAUUUCAACAGGUAUUUACAGGCACAAAAAACAAAAAUAAAAAUUUCGGAAUUUUGGGAGAAUUUCUAUGAAAAUGGAUUGCUAAUUUUUUUUUUAGUAUUAUGGGUUCGUUUCUGGGUCAAGAAAUUCGUUUUUGGUCGCGCUACAGGGGUUUUUGUCUUCAAUUCAUUUUUUUACAUACAUAUGACUGCACUUUUUUGCAAAAAAAAAAUUUUGAAAUUUUUGGAGAGUUUCUAUGAGAAUGGUUUGCUAAUUUUUUUUUAGUAUUAUGGGUACGUUUCUGGGUCAAGAAAUUCGUUUUUGGUCGCGCUACAGGGGUUUUUGGCUUGAAUUCCAAUUUCAACAGGUAUAUACAGGCACAAAAAAAACAAAAAUAAAAAUUUCGGAAUUUUGGGAGAAUUUUUUUAAAAAUGGUUGCUAAUUUUUUUUUAGUAUUAUGGGUACGUUUCUGGGUCAAGAAAUUCGUUUUUGGUCGCGCUACAGGAGUUUUUGUCUUCAGUUCAAAACAUUCCUACCAACAUAAAUUUCUUCCGGAAAAAUUGGAAAAAAAUCAUACAAACUUUGUUAUUUCUGACAAACGCUGUGGGAAACUAAAGCAGAAAAAGAGAGUGAAAAGAGUAUAAGCCUAGUUGAAGACAAUUCUAUGAAAAUGAAAAAAACAUUUUUCGAUCUUUUGUCAAUGUUGAAUGAAACAAUAAGAUUCAACACCACCUUUUUGAUCAUCAAUCUUCCGAACUUCCACUUAUCUGAGCAUGUGAGCAACUCAGAACCACCUUGGUUCGGUGAGGGGAUUGAACCCUCACAGGUGAUUCGCGGCUCAUGCGUGGCGCGUCUCACACGCUUCGCUCACGCGUCUGAGAGGACCAAGCGAAGACGCGCGUCACGCAUGCGUCAGGCGCGCGUAGCGAAAGCAAGCAUGCUUCACGCGUGCAUUGCGAAAGGAAGCAUGCUUCACGCGUGCGUUGCGAACGGGCAUGAGUACGGUAGAAAUGGGUCCAAAUGUAGCGGCCGGAAAGACAUGAAGCAUUUUUGGCUCAUGAAAGCCCCAGAACAAAUAAUUUUGGUUGAUUGUAGCAGAAUUCGUAACAAAAAUAACUUCAUCUGAACAACAAACAAAAAAAGCAGUAAUAAAAGAAAUUAAUAAGAAAAGUAACAAACCAAUAAUUAGUUGCAAUAUUAAUUAAUCAACAAAAACAGCUCAUGAUGAAGCUGGGGCUCCAGACGUUCCCUCGCCGCCAGCCUUCUCCGUCAAAUCCCCCAUGUUUUCCAAAUCAGCCGAGCCUUCUGGACUUUCGACGAAAAUGAGCUCAUCCCUGAAAUGGAAUUGGUAUUCAAUUUUAUCACGAACUAUUUUCAAAUGUUUAUAUUAUUUCGCUUUUUCACUAUUUCAACUGUUCAAAUUUUAAACUGAAGAAAAUUCUAAAUUCGAUGUUAUGAAAAUUAUAUUUUUUAUAUUACUGUAUGAAUUCCACGGAAAAAUUCAUCAGCACACAUCAAUUCUUCAAUUUCCUUCAAAUUCAAGUUCAAUUUUUUCUGUGAGCAAUAUUUAAUAUGUUUUUAACUUUUUAUCAAAUUUCCCAGUCGACUUGUCACAUUUGUCUUCUAGACUUAAAGAUUUAAAGGUUACGGUCGACAAUUGUACGUGACACCGACAAACUAUUGCGGACCGCGCGAAAAAUCGUGCCAACUCAUUUCUUUGCAAAAUCAUUCAUUUUGAGCAUAUUUUCUCGUCAUUAUGAUUUUAAUUUUGCGAGUUGGACAGAAUUUCUUUCACUAAUAUACAGUUUAUAUUUUUUUUCACGCUGAUAAAUUUGUUUGGCUCCCUUUGUCCACUAUAUAUCGAUAAACACGAAGAUAUAGUGGUAAUUUUGGGAUAAAAUCAUUUAUUCGUGUGAAAUUAAACGCCCAGUAACAUCAUUUCUCAAGUUUCUUUGUCUUCUCUGUCUUAUCUUUUUAUCUUCGUUUUCACUUUCACUCAGAGAUUUUUUUUUAAAGAUUCUUCUCUGGUACUUCAGCGAUCGCAGAGUGAAGGGAGGACGAUGUGGGAUUUUGCGGUUUGUGAAGCUCAAGAACUGAUGAUUCUCUCCGAUCAAAACUUUUUACAGACCCAAUGGAAAGAGCCACAGACGGCACAAUCAAAGAAUACGGAAUCGAAAUGCGAAUUCCAUGGAAACUCGAAUGAGGUGAAGCCGAUUGGCAGUCUAAACGGACAGUCGAUCGCUCAAUGCCGUAUUCACACUGGAAAGACCGUUCCAAUUGUGAAGGGCGGUGAACAGGCGAGGAUGGAGGAGAACGAGAUCUACGCGAUUGAGACGUUCGGAUCUACGGGAAAAGGAUAUUUUCAUGAUGAUAUGGAAACAUCGCAUUAUAUGAAGAAUUUUGAGCUCGCCGACGAGAAAAUUCCACUUCGCUUGCAAAAAUCGAAGGGUCUUCUCAAAUUGAUCGACAAGAAUUUCGCCACGCUGGCUUUCUGCCGUUGUUGGAUUGAUCGGCUUGAAGAGACCAAGUACUUGAUGGCUCUCAAAGGUAAGUGUUCCUACUCUACUGCUUCUAGAUUGAUGCUAAUAUUAACUCUAUUUACAGACCGCUGGAUGGCUAUGGUUGGAGCUUGUAUACUACAAAGCUUUGCGGGAAAAAUUAUCGGCAAACGUGCAAACCUGCUUCUCAAUUUGAUAAUUUAACAUUUCUGAGCUAAAGUUGAAAUAGAAAUGAAAAAAAGUUCGUUCCAUCUGGAAAUUAUAUUUAUUUUUCUGAAAAAUCUAAGAAAAAUCUCAAGUAUUGCCGGAAAGUUACCGUUUUCCGGUUUUUCCGGCACUAUUUUUCAAAAAUUUCACCGAAAAUAAAUAAUUUCCCGUUGGAACGAACUUUUUCUACAUUUUUAUAUCAAAUUCAGUUCUGAAAAGUUGAAUUUUUUUUUGAAAAGCAGAUUUGUAAUUUUGUAGAAACAUUUUGUCGCAAAGCCAUGUAGUAUACUCGUCGAAAGUUUCAUAGCAGUUGAAAUAUGAGCGGUUAGUGGAAAUGAAAGGUACUAGCGGUCCUCUCCGAUCAAAAUUUUCAGAUCCAUCUGGAGAGACAGCCUCGAGUUAGGUAGAACAAGUUAAUCGAAACGAGAUGGAUUUGGAAGCGGAAAUUUCGAUGGAUUUGGAAACGGAAAUUUCGAUGGAUACGUUGGAAAUAAAAUCAAGGAUGAAAGAUAAUAUCUUUCUUGCAGGUAUUUUUUCUUUUAAAUUUUGAAAAAAUAUUGUAAAACUCACGGGAAAAAAAUAUCACUGUGUUCCUUCGCUAGCUCCUCCUUCAUCCAUCUUGUCUUCACUCGAAUCGAAUCUUCCCCGUGUGUGAGUUUGUAGACACGACGCACUCUGUCCCUAUAAAUUUUCAAACACGUAGAUCUAAUGAAUCUUGGUAGAAGCUUACAAUUUGUUUUUCAUCAUAUCCCGAAGAAGACUUUCCACGUAGUUCCUGACUGUUUCCUUAUCAAGCAUGGAAAAUCCCGCCACAGCGAACUCUAUAAAUAUAGAUAAUUUUCACAAUAGCAUAGCCUUUUGUUCAAACCACGGAAACGUUGGAAAAACUGUUGUGCGAUUGGAAUGUAGAUUGUAGCGUUUUCGGAGAUACCAUAACAGCCCAUAUAUGGAUCCACAAGCUCCAGCUGUAAAUUUAUUACGACUUUCAGUCUAUAUUUCAACCUAAAAAAAUCUUACCUGGUCAUACACAUGCGUGCAUAAUGAUUGUGCAUUAACCUUGAAGGUAUCAGCAGUCCAACGGCUCACUUUCUCUGGAUCAAUAGCUUUUGACAACAUGAACCACUUGCGAUUAGGUAGUUCUACGACGUCGUCUGCUUUCACAGCAGCUUCUAGUGAGAACAACUGUGCUUGAGGAUUCACAAACAUUGCCUGUAAAUAAAAAACUUUAAAUUUUUUUUUGGAAAAUGUCGAACUUUUUCUAUUUGAAGGAGUGACAGCUAGGAACUGGAGUGACAGCUAGGAACUCCCUCAUAUUCCGUGAGCGAUCAGUUGGUGCUCUCCGAGCAAUUUCUCUUCGGAUGUUAGCGUGAAGCAGAAAUCUUAACAUGAUGUAGGUAAUUAGUCAUUUGUUAUAUGGAACUAACUUAGUUGCUGCAUUCUGAAGAAAAUAUCGGGUGAUAGAGCUAGAGUAACCACACAUAGUGAAAUUGUAAAAACUCUCAAAACUGAAAGUGGAAAGUGGUCCAGUGUUCUAAAACAGAGAAUUAAUUUCUGGCAAGUGAUAGAUGAUCUCCUGAAUUUCCAAUUCAGUAUUGAUAAAGCCUCAUAUUAACGUACGUGUCCUUUAAUGGUGGUAUAUCUCUUGUCACUUAGAUAGUUGAUCGUAUUCAAAAUAUAUUUCAACGCAGCACACAUAUGAGUGUCGAAUUGACCAGAACUUUUGGAGUUCGUGAACAUUUUAUUGGCCACCAUCGCCAGUGCAACUACCACUACUCUCCCCUUCGGUGCGAUAUAUUCACAGUCCAGCGCUGCUAACCCAAGUACAAUUCUGAAAUACUGGACCAAAAAUUCGAGAAAUGAGAAAAAUUAUAUAGUUACAUUCGUUUUGUCUGUUCCAUUUCUGCAUGCUCCGAUGUUUUUGUAAUUUGAGUGCAAUACAAUAUUUCCAAUAACACUUUUGAAGUGAUUGGCAUCAUUGGCAAAUAAAUGAGAUAGGAGCGAUUUGGGAUUCGUUUCGAAAAUAUCUAAAAUCGAAAUUGAAAUACUUAAUGUGGAAAAGUUCACUGUUACCAUCUUGAAAUUUCUCGCAGAUACCCUCUCCCAGAUCGUGCAAAAGAUCAAUGGGUGUCUCGUAUGGGAAAAUGUGCCUGACAAUGAUCGACUUCUUUUCUGUAAACCCAUUUCUGCCAUUAAUGGAAUCUUGGAUAGUCAAAUGCCCGGGUCGUGAGAGUUUCCUAUUUGGUCCUUCGUGUUUAUAAUACGUCUCCGGUGCAAGGCAAAAAAAGCAUGACAACUUUGCAGAAUGAUGGCGAAAUCCAAAGAAUGCUCGUUUAGCCUUAAAAUGUAUAUACCAUUCUAAAUGUGAACUUAGAACCUACACACCGGCUGAUCCGCACUAAUAGUUGUAAUUCUACAGGAAAAUGUGAUAUUCUUAACUCUCCCAAUAUGGUGCUCAAUAUCAGUCAUAAACAUCGGAAUCAGUGCGUUCCACAGAGCAGUGGACGGGGUAUCUGAACAUUCAACAAUUCCUUCGAGAAUUACAUGCGUAGACUUUUGCAUGAGACCAAUUGGGAGAUCACACAGGAGAAGACUGACAGGCCACAGCUUACUAAAAUUAAUUUCAAUUUUUGAAAAUAUGCACUCAAAGACGUACUUAUUGUUUCCAGGAAUGUGGACGCCAUCAAUCGAAAGUAGUGUGGACAAGUGAAGAUGAUGUUUCGAUUCAUUGGCCCAGCCUCUUGAAAAGAAAGGACUCCCGAGAACAUGAUCUACAUUUCUCCCAGAUUUCAACUCUUCACGAAUUUGGAGAAUUUCAUUUAAAUGGGAAUCAACAAGUUCUCGAAUUUGAGAAAAUCCACCGAUACGAAUGAAAGUGGCAACUGGAGCGUUUGCGCAGAUGUUACUGAAUACGUCAGUUUUUUUUUAAAUGUGAAGUUUCGCCAAUGAGGAUGUAAUUUAAUUUUCGAAAAGAGAUAAAUUUGAAAAAAAAAUCUAAAAAUUAAAAAAAAAAAUUUUUUGUCAAUAUUUUUGAAAUUCUAAAUUAUCGAUUUUCAAAAAAAAAAAAUUGAAAAAAUUGAAAAUUCGUAUUUUUUUUGGUCUAAAAAUUUUUUUUUUGAAAAAUCAAUAUAUUGCCAUCUCACUGAUUUUUUGGCAAUAUUUUUGAAAUCCUAAAUUCUCGAUUUUCAAAAAAAAAACAUCAAAAAAUUGAAAAAAUUGAAAAUUGAAAAUUUUUUUUGUUUAAAAUUUGUUUUUUGAAAAAUCAAUAUAUUGCCAUCUCACUGAUUUUUUGGCAAUAUUUUUGAAAUUCUAAAUUAUCGAUUUUCAAAAAAAAUUUGUUUCCAAAAAUAAAAGCAAUGAACUUAACUUUUUUGAUUUUUCACAUUUUUCAGAAAAAUUGUUUCAGUAUGAGUAUAAAAUGAAAUUUUAAUUUCAAUUUUAAAUUAUAAUUCUCAUUGACCGAACUCCGAAAAAAAGAUCUACCAUCUGUUGAUAUGGCCCAAAACCUUCCCACAUAGGUUACAAUAUGUGUGCGUCGAAAAGUUGUUCCUUGUGUAUUCCCAAAGUUUUCUAGCCUCAUGAGCCAUACUGUCUGUUUGAGAAGACAGUAGUCGGUCAAACUCUAAAACUCAUGUUAAAGUCAAUAAAUGUUUGAUAAUUUUUCAAAACCUGUGUUUGAUAAUCUCGAAAUACACGCACUUGCGACAAGCAGGAGUACAGGAGUUGGAACUGAUUUCAACAUUUUUUUCAUCUCCGUUUCUGAGAUUGUAAUCUAUUUUCAAUAAAGAAACCAACAUUGCAUAUCAGUAUCCAUGUCAUCCUCAACAUCUUGCGGCUGUGAUGCAGGUGUUUCUACUUCGGUUUCAGGGGUUCCAGAGGGAGGAGAGUAAUUUCCGUCGUCGCUUUGCGUCUCAACUUGUUGGAUCUCAUCCUCUUCACUUCCAUUCUCUUCUCUGCCUGGAUAGAAAACACGUUACAGUUAUAUUUAAUACAUUUUUUGCAGCUCUCACCUAGAUCUUGAUUCUCUCCAGAUGUCCUCUCUCCAGGCACAACCUCUUCAUUAUCAACAACUGAAUGUGAUAUUUUGGUUAACUUUUCAGACGCACAAAGCAUGUUACCUGGCUCCUGUUGCCACCGAAUGGGAUCGAACAGCUUCGCAAUUGAUCGAGGCAUACGGACUUGGACAAAAUUUUUUGAUAUCUCUAUCCACACGUCACCAGAUAAUAACAACAAUUUUUGGAUUUAAAGUCACGAUGAAACACGGCUUCUUUGAAAUUCUAAUUUCUCUAGAAAACAGGUCUGACUACUGUAGGAAUUUUCAGGAUUUCAACGGAAAUGGACAUAACAGUUUGUAUAUUUUUCUAAAAGCAUGACUGAAUAUAUAAAUGAUGUCGUGAAAUAUGGAGAGAAAUCCACGGUUGAUUUUAAGAUUUCAAAAAUAUGUAUUUCUAGACUUGAUUUUUUCGAUCUACAGUAAUCCAAAAAUUGUAAUUUCCAAUAAACCUAGUGUAUUUUUUCUAUAGACUUUGAAGGAUGGCGCAUUUAUUUGAAAUGGUCCCACCACGUGCCACCCAUUGGUCCGCCACGCGCUUCAAAAAUCAAUGUUUGACGCGUGGCGAGACCAUUUCGAAUAAACGCGCCCUCCUUUAAAGUCGUACUGUAGACAAAAUGCACUGUAAUGUCAAUCUAAUUUUGAUUUGAUAGAAAUUUUCAUUGAUUUCGGGUACAUAAACUCGGGAAAAACUGAAAUUCAAAAUUUUUAAAUGUUUUUAUCAAUAAGUAUCGUUGUAUACAUUCUUCACUUUCGAAAAUAGACCUUCGAUGAUGGUUAUGGGGUUAUUCAAGUAAUGAAGCAAAAUGUAUUAAAAUACAUUUGUGACGUCACAAAUGUAUUUAAAUACAUGUUUUUGUUUACUUGAAUACAGCUGUGACGUAAUAUUUCUACACUUUUUAAUUUUCCCACACUACUUGAAUAACCCCAUUAAUGAGAAAGAAAAAAGUCCAAGGAUCGAUUGAUAAAUUUAGGGAGUAUGUAUAUUUGCGAAAAAAAACUAAUAUUUUCCUAAACAUAUUUCGCAUUUUGGUGCUGCUUUUCCAAUUACAUGUUAUUUUCUUUGUGCUUUUUACUGUCCACGGAGCUCAUAGUUUCACAGUUUCUCCUUUUAAUGCUUCUUUUUUUAGAUAUUACGGUGAGUAUUCGUCUUUUCGCAUCUUAGAUUGAACAUUUUGAAUUAAAUUUAUUUAAAGCUGCAGAUAUCGAACACUUUUCAUUAGAAAAAAAAUUGUGAGACAAAAUUAAUAUUGAAAUUGUUGCUUGGAAACGUUUAAUUUAACUUCAGCUUUAAAAAAAAAUAAAUUUCAUAUAAAUUUAGAUGCGAAAAGUGAACGAACUCGUCGAAAAUACGGAAAAUAAACACUUCACAACUAAAUAAUGCAAAUGUGCUCUGUGGAUAGUAAAAAGGGAGCGAAACUCAAAAAACCAGCCUCAUUCAAAAAUUAGAUGAACUAUUCGAGAAUUAAUUGAGAAAUUGGAAAACUUUUUCGAAUUAAUACAUUUCGAGACCGAAAAAUCGUUAAAAUUGUACUUUUCAGGAAUUAAAAUUCAAUUUUGCGUGAAUCAUCGUGAGUUUUCAAAUAAAUUUGUACAAAAGUCACUUCGAGAUAUAAGUAACAAUAAUUUUUAUGAAAUUAUACAAUUAAAUUCAAUGAAAAAUAUCAAAAAAUCAAAUUAAACAUGAAGAAAAGCAAAUAAAUAUCCUAAAAUAUUUGUAUCGAUUAUUGUUCCUUCGUUUUCGCGAAUCAUGUUCCACGCAUGCUCCACGCAUGCGUGGCGAAAAGGGAGGCACUUUCGCCACUCGUGCGUCACGCACGCCUCACACAUGCGUACGAGGCUAGCUUUUCGCUACGCGUCCAAUACGCGCCUCAUACGUUGACUCCACGGUCGAGUGCUUUACCACACUUGACCAUGUUGCCAGCUCAGGAUGAGUCACUGAUUGCGUUGAGUUGGCGCCAUGAAAACGUGGCGCGGUGGCGUAGAAUGGCGCAAUUUGUGCUGAAAAAUGAACACUAAAUGUGGGUAAAGUAUAUAUUUCUAAUAUCAGAAUUUUGCACUGAUUUCAAUGGGCAGCUUCAAAUUGUUCAAUUUUCAAUCUAGCAGAAAUUGGGACUUUUGCCAAAAAAAAAUAAAUCGUCAAAUUCUAUUUGUAAACCACGUUCAACAUUAUUAACUGUGAAAAUGGUAAAUGGUCCCAUAUCAGGGUGUCCCACAAGAAGAUGAUCUAUAACGAAGUAUCAUAAUAUAUCAAUAAAUCCAAUUGACAACAGGUACUUUUGGUACACCCCUUUUGGUUGAGAAAAGAUGGGGCGCAAAAAAUAAAGUCAUCGCAUAAAAAAGUGAGACUGGCACCAUUUAUAAAAGUGCCGUAGCACGGCGGACAAUUUGCAAAAUAAUUUCCAACAGCUGCAACACUGCCUGUUCAUCUGUUUCCGAAAUCAUUAAAAAGUUUGAAAACUUUUCAUCGAUG
rnacentral:sRNA from 1 species